GACGAACCGUGCGAACGUUGUUCGGAAUCACUGGGCUUAAAGGGCGCGUAGGCGGACUUGCAAGUCUGCGGUGAAAGCCUCCAGCUCAACUGGAGAAGUGCCGUGGAUACUGCGAGUCUCGAGGAGGGUAGGGGCAUCUGGAACGUUGGGUGGAGCGGUGAAAUGCGUUGAUAUCCAACGGAACUCCGGUGGCGAAGGCGAGGUGCUGGACCCUUUCUGACGCUGAGGCGCGAAAGCCAGGGGAGCGAACGGG
rnacentral:rRNA from 1 species